AUAUUCAUGGGUGUAUCGAGACUAGAUGGUCAUUAUGGAUAACUAAAGUGCACUAAAAUUGGGUGAGCAGGCAAGGCAUGUCACCCAGGUUGUGUGACAAUUAUUUUAUAUAAAUGUAUAUAUAUAUAUAUAUAUAUACAUAUAUAUAUAUAUAUAUAUAUAUAUAUAUAU